AAACUGAGUAGAAGUGGUCCUAGCACAGAACCUUGUGGAACUCUGUGACAAACUUUGGUCUGCAUGGAGGAUUCAUCAUUGACGUGAACAAGCUGUAAACAUAAUAUUUAUCAGGUUCUACAGCUGUUCCUAAACUUCCUGUGUUAAAUUAGUGCCUGUUGAGGGCAAGAGGUGAUGAACUCUUCUCAUUUGGGUGAUCCAGGUUUUAUUUCAGUGCAGUCUGGGUGUUGUAGUUGUUGGAACAAAGCUUUAAGUAUUUCAUGAACUGUAGUCGAGUAAAAGUAUAAAAUAAAUGUACUUAGUUCCUUUAUGAUCCCGAUGACUCACAGACUGUCUGUUCUGUGUUUGUGAGUCUGAGCAGAUUUUAACCAGCAGGUCUGUUUCUACACAUCAAACACAGUAUGGACCUCCGUCACAUCAAAGACCUCAUGGACCUCCAUCACAUUAACACUUCCUCCUCCUCCUCUUUCUCCUCCUCUUCUCUCCUCCUCCUCGCCAUUCUCACUCCACAUUCAGUCUGAGCAAGCAGCUCAAAGCGAACACAUCAUCAUCUGCACCAUCAACAAUAAACAACAAAGGAGCCAAUCAAAGUCCAACAGGUGCUGCUCAGUCAGCAGGUGUUGGUUGCUGUGACGAUGGUAAGCGCUGUCCUGAGGAUGAUGGGAAACGUUUCUGUGUCGACUCUGACUCGUCCAAAAGAAAUCCUGAAGGAUUCAAAGAAGAUGAUCUACAGCAAACCUCCCCGGAACAAGAUUGGAGCGGUGGAAAGCUUCUUCAUCAUGUCUGUCUUUGCGGUGGCCAUGUUGACUCCAGCUGCUUGGAUCCUUCAUCACCUGCCAGAGUACCACCAGAGGUCAAAACAGAGUCCAAAGACCUGAACAUCAUCUUCAUCAUCCUCAUCAUCAAAAUAUGGAACAUGUAAUAAUAAAUAUUAAACUAAAUCAAACAAUCAGUCAGUUCAAUAAGCAUAAAUAUUCUGCAUCUGUAGAACACAGCUGUCAUUUCAAAAUAAGAUCAGCCUGUUCUGGAUGUUGGAUGUCAUCUUUCUUCUUCUCUCUGGUACAAAGCAAAAUUGUCCUGAAGUUUGUACAAACAGGAAGUGUUUGUGUGUUCAAAGAUAAAAUAAAGCUUCAGUUUGUGUGUUUGCGUUUGAGCAGGAAACG